AUUGAACGCUGGCGGCAGGCCUAACACAUGCAAGUCGAACGAGUGGCGGACGGGAGAGAAAUGUCUGGGAACCAGCCAGAUGGAGGGGGAUAACUAGUGGAAACGGUACCUAAACCGGAAUACCAUCGGCUGUGCCAUGAUGGGAUUAGCGAGUAGGUGGGGUAACGGCUCACCAAGGCGAAGAUCACUAGCUGGUCUGAGAGGAUGACCGGCCACACUGGAACUGAGACACGGUCCAGACUCCUACGGGAGGCAGCAGUGGGGAAUCUUGCACAAUGGGCGCAAGCCUGACGCAGCCACGCCGCGUGUAUGAAGAAGGCCUUCGGAUUGUAAAGCACUGUUAGCGGGGAGGCGUUACCCGAAGAAAAAGCACCGGCUAACUCCGUGCCAGCAGCCGCGGUAAUAC
rnacentral:rRNA from 1 species